GGCUCAUCAGAGACUCACCCCCAGGUGUUUUGCCUUCCUUUAUCCAGUCUGAUGCUCCUGACAGCUGAGCCACCUCAUUUGAAGGUUCUUGAGGGGUGGUUUGCAGCCUCUCUUGUCAGCUCCCCCUGUGCUGCUCCAGGGAAUGCUGAGCCAAGGUGCCUCAGGUGCCAAAAUUGCAGUCUGGUUCUCCUGAAAGGGAGAGUGAGCAGCGAAAGGAGCUGGCAUCUGGCUUAGUGCAUCCUUGGUCUCCCUCUUCUGGCUCAGCUGGAAGGAGCUGCUCCAUCCAGGAUGUGCUGCAGCUCAGCAUCCCCCUCCUGCCAGGAGCUGAAGGGACACUGGUGAAGAGAACAGGUCGAGAAGCUUUUUUCCACCAUGUGCCUGCAGGCCAUGGCUGUGGCAAUCACGCUUCUCCUGGCUGUGCUGGCCAUCCUGCCUGGGCAGGCACAAGACCCACAGACUGAUAUGGCCACGGCCCAGCAGAUGCAGCAGCGUGAGGAGUUUCUGCAGCAGGAGAUGUCGCGGCUGCGGCGGGAGGUUGAGCGCAGCGCCCUGGAAAAAGCUUUCCUCCACUCCAUGUUUUACUGGUUCUUUUGGGCUGCUGUGGCAGCUGUGCUCCUUGAAUUCUGCAUGCAAAAGCAGCUUGGCUCCAGCAGCUGCCCUGAGCAGGAAAACUGCAGCAGCAGAGAGGAGGAGGAUGAUAGUGAGGGGGAUGAAGACAAUGGAGCACAAAAUGCUGCCAGCUCUUUGGCUUGGCCCACCUUAUUUCCAGUGCAGGAACUGCCUGACCUGAGCAGGAAUCUGAAGCAGCUUCUGGGUGACUUCUUGAUCAACCAAGACUUUUCACAGAGCACUCUGACACCAGAGAUUUCCCCACACACUGAGAUGAAUGGCACCUGUGGAUCCUGGAGGGUCCACAAGAACUGA
rnacentral:lncRNA from 1 species